AGUCAUCCCUAAAUAUGGGCAGGAUAUCAGUCUUGGACUGUCUAACCUGCCGGAGCAGCACUGAAUGACCACCACACAUGAGCAUGUUCCUGCAACAUUCAGCAGCUUUGCUUUUGUGUCAAAUGUCCAACAGCUGGAGAGGAAACUAAACCAGUACUGGGCUGUUUCACCAACACGUGCCAGAUGCUGUUCCUUCAUGGUGACAUCACCAGAGACAGCCCCGCCCACCUCAGGACCUCGCCAUUGAUCAUGAUGACAGCGAGCGGAACUAAGACUGUACAAAUCCAUGACCAGAAUGUUUAGAUGCUUUCUAAUUAUGAAUGAAUACUGAGAGCCUCUUUCUGUGUUUUGUCUGUUUUGGGUUGU